UACGGAGGGGGCUAGCGUUGUCCGGAAUUAUUGGGCGUAAAGCGCGCGCAGGCGGUCCUUUAAGUCUGAUGUGAAAGCCCACGGCUCAACCGUGGAGGGUCAUUGGAAACUGGGGGACUUGAGUACAGAAGAGAAGAGUGGAAUUCCACGUGUAGCGGUGAAAUGCGUAGAGAUGUGGAGGAACACCAGUGGCGAAGGCGACUCUUUGGUCUGUAACUGACGCUGAGGCGCGAAAGCGUGGGGAGCAAACAGG
rnacentral:rRNA from 1 species